GCCUUCUUUCUUCUGUCAUCAGUGCUGAACCACUGCGAGGUCCACCGGGUCGCCGCCGCCGUUUACCAGUGUUACAGUGAUCUCAGCGGCCCCGACUCUGUCACCAUGGAGACCUACAAGCCUGCACUUACCAAGCUUGGCAAGUCCGUACAGUUGGACUCGUCUCCGAGCACAGACGUCCUCCGCAAGUUCGUCCAAUCCACCAACAUACAGAGUAAUCUUUAUAUCUGAAAAUGGCCACGUUGCACACUGUACAGUGCAGUUGAAAUCUAUUUUCCUGUGUAAAAUACUGUCAUUUUUUAAUAAAGAAAUUAAGUAAAGAACA